rnacentral:rRNA from 1 species
GACGAACGCUGGCGGCGUGCUUAACACAUGCAAGUCGAACGGAAAGGCCCUGCUUUUGUGGGGUGCUCGAGUGGCGAACGGGUGAGUAACACGUGAGUAACCUGCCCUUGACUUUGGGAUAACUUCAGGAAACUGGGGCUAAUACCGGAUAGGAGCUCCUGCUGCAUGGUGGGGGUUGGAAAGUUUCGGCGGUGGGGGAUGGACUCGCGGCUUAUCAGCUUGUUGGUGGGGUAGUGGCUUACCAAGGCUUUGACGGGUAGCCGGCCUGAGAGGGUGACCGGCCACAUUGGGACUGAGGUACGGCACAGGCUCCUACGGGAGGCAGCAGUGGGGAAGAUUGCACCAUGGGCGGAAGCCUGAUGCAGCAACGCCGCGUGCGGGAUGGCGGUCUUCGGGUUGUAGACCGCUUUCGCCUGUGACGAAGCGUGAGUGACGGUAAUGGGUAAAGAAGCACCGGCUAACUACGUG